rnacentral:rRNA from 1 species
UUGAACGCUGGCGGCAUGCUUUACACAUGCAAGUCGAGCGCCGUAGCAAUACGGAGCGGCAGACGGGUGAGUAACGCGUGGGAACCUUCCCAGUGGUACGGAAUAGCUCAGGGAAACUUGAGGUAAUACCGCAUACGCCCUUCGGGGGAAAGAUUUAUCGCCAUUGGAUGGGCCCGCGUCGGAUUAGCUAGUUGGUGAGGUAACGGCUCACCAAGGCGACGAUCCGUAGCUGGUCUGAGAGGAUGAUCAGCCACACUGGGACUGAGACACGGCCCAGACUCCUACGGGAGGCAGCAGUGGGGAAUAUUGGACAAUGGGCGCAAGCCUGAUCCAGCCAUGCCGCGUGAGUGACGAAGGUCUUCGGAUUGUAAAGCUCUUUUGGCGGGGACGAUAAUGACGGUACCCGCAGAAUAAGCCCCGGCUAACUUCGU